rnacentral:rRNA from 1 species
GAACGCUGGCGGCAUGCUUUACACAUGCAAGUCGAACGGUAACAGGUCUUCGGAUGCUGACGAGUGGCGAACGGGUGAGUAAUGUAUCGGAACGUGCCCAGUCGUGGGGGAUAACGUAGUGAAAAUUACGCUAAUACCGCAUACGAUCUAUGGAUGAAAGCGGGGGAUCGCAAGACCUCGCGCGAUUGGAGCGGCCGAUAUCAGAUUAGGUAGUUGGUGGGGUAAAAGGCCCACCAAGCCAACGAUCUGUAGCUGGUCUGAGAGGACGACCAGCCACACUGGAACUGAGACACGGUCCAGACUCCUACGGGAGGCAGCAGUGGGGAAUUUUGGACAAUGGGCGCAAGCCUGAUCCAGCCAUUCCGCGUGCAGGAUGAAGGCCCUCGGGUUGUAAACUGCUUUUGUACAGAACGAAAAGGUUUCUACUAAUACUAGGAGCUCAUGACGGUACUGUAAGAAUAAGCACCGGCUAACUACGUG